UUUCCAGAGUCUUUUUCUGAUUUUGAUUAGUAAAAAAAGCUACCUUGAUCUAAUAUGCAACCAUUGCGACCUACUUUUUACUACUUGAAAAAAGGCAGAAUUUAAUGACCCAUUUUAAUUAUGUCUUGUUUAAAGUAUAAUUCAAAAGACAAAGAUAUGUGAAUCGUUUUGCUUUUUCUAAAAUGAGAAUGUGACAUUUUGAAGCAACUACCCUUGUUAAGCUUAUGCCGGUUUUGCUUGUCUAAAAUGAGAAUGCAAAUGCGACUUAAGUGGCCAGUUUUUCUUUUGUCUAAAAUGACAAUGCGACAUUUUGAAGCAACUCCCUUUUCAGAAUUAUGUUUGCUUAUUUCACCCUUCUUCGGCUUCUAUGAUGGACUUUCUGGUUGUGCAACUUGUUUCGGCCUUGAUAGGUGUACUAUGAACUCCAAAGUUUCUUUUGAUUUUUCUUUCCAGAAGAUUAUAAUGUAUUUUACAUACAUGUCUGAGGAGUGUCGGCCUUGUGUAGUAUUUACUCCGUAGUAUAUGUUGUUACGUACAUGGCGACCCCAAAAAGCUGCAUUUUAUGAAAUUAUUAGGGUUCAAUUACUGGUCCAUGAAUAUGCAGGAUCGAGAAUGGCGAAAAAGUCUCUGCCUUUAUAUAUGCCUUUUUUUCUCCCUUGCACCACACACAUUUAUCACUUAUCACUGAUAUUAUGCUAUUCCCACUACCUAUCAGUGGAUGCCUAACUGGCUAUCUAGCUUGUUUAAAAAUGAUCAUUGCGUAUUCGAGUUUUGUUUUUCAAGUGAACAUUUUCAAUCAACUUUGUAGUAACACAUGGUCACAAGUAAUUGUCCAAAUUACUUUAGAAAUGGAGAAUGAUUGCUGAUAACCCCACUUAUUGUUCGAAAUUGAGAGAUGAGUUCAAAAAUCUUCAACCUAUACCCGAGAAAAGGAGAAAUACUCCCUGGAUCUAAUGCAGACAUCAUAAUUCUCAAUCCUAAUGCAAGUUUCACAAUUUCAGCAUAACUGCAUCACUACAGGGCAUAUACAAAUGUUUACGAGGGUCGAGGGGGUAACUAGCAAAUAUUUUAUCAUGGAAAGGUUGGAAACAAUUAAGAGAGACUUCUUCAUGAUCGGUGACUAGUAAGGUAAAUCUCCAGGCAUUCUUUUCACCAGUUUUUGAAAUUCAACCUUUGGAUUAUAUAUGUUCAAUGUGAUGAUGUGGGGUUGCUACGUCAACAACCUUAGAGCGGUGUCAUCUUUACAAGUUACAAUGACAAGCUUUGCAACGAUUUGCUCUCUUCUGGUAUGGCUGGUUAUUUUCUAUUUGGAGAAACACUACUAAUUAAGGUUUUCAAAACUCCAAGGGAGGGGCCCUUUAUCAAAAAGGAGUUGGAUGAAGUUCGAGACAAGUGGGCUAUUUACUUCAACGAUUGUGAACUACCCUCAGUGUAAUAAAUAGAGCAAGCUUGUAGUUAUUCGUGACUCUUACAUUAUUUUGUUAUUUAUCGAUUUAAUUAAUUACAUUUGAAUUAAUUCGGUAAUAUUAUUGGAAAUUUGAAAUUUAUAUAA